CCGGAAGCCAGACCGUGAGCUCCCAGGACAUGGCAUGUCCAUCUCCGAUCACCAGUGCCGGGUGGGCCUGCCACACAUCGAGCUCAGUAAGGUUUUGCUAAGUGUCAGCUGGGGGGUGAAGGGGACCCCUUAUCAGUGGAGACCUCCUCUUUAAACGUAAAGCUCCUUCCAAGAGGGUGACUUCUACUUCAUUUGCAGAGCAUCUCCCGUGUCCGUUGUGUUUAAAAUCAUGCUUAGACUACAAAGGCACUUUCAGGCGGCCUAUUCUGCUACACGUGCACGAUGCCCGAAGCUCCCUGUGGUCUCCAAGCUGCAUUCAGCCUCCCAGCAUCCUUUGGGGCAACUGAGGGCCUCGCUGGGCCACUGGGUCCGUGAGCUCCGUGGAACCAUCGAGGCUCAGUAGGCCCUGGUGUCGGGUGAGAUGCCCAGCAGCUCACAGGAGACUAGCCUGGCCUCCACCCGCUUGAGAGACAGCUCUCCACGGUGUUUCCAAGCUGGGAGAGGGCGCAGCCGGGGUCAAUCCAGCAUCCUGAGUGCCUAUGGCUCUGCAGCCAGGCAGCUUCCUGGGGCCUCACGCAGUGGCACGGGCGGAGGCAGGAUGCAAUCGUGACCUAAAAGUUCAUCUUUCCUUCAUCACGUUGGGCCCAGUCAGGUUUGAGAUAACAUCCUCAAUGCUCUUUUCACAUCUGAGCACCCAGCGGAGGCUCGCUUUGCUCCAGCGCUCAGUUAGUGGGAGUGAGCCUGCUGCGUGGCCCCGUCGUCACCAUCAGCAAGAAGCUGGCAGCUCAGCCUCUGCCCUGCGCAUCCCCAUCCGCACAGCCUCCAUCCUGCCGCCUGCACACUCUCCAUCCGCACAGUCUCCAUCCUCCCGCCUGCACACUCUCCAUCUGCACAGCCUCCAUCCUCGUGCCUGCACACUCUCCAUCGGCACACUCUCCAUCCUCGUGCCUGCACACUCUCCAUCCGCACAGUCUCCAUCCUCCCACCUGCACACUCUCCAUCCGCACAGCCUCCAUCCUCGUGCCUGCACUCUCUCCAUCCGCACAGCCUCCAUCCUCGUGCCUGCACUCUCUCCAUCCGCACAGCCUCCAUCCUCGUGCCUGCACACUCUCCAUCCGCACAGCCUCCAUCCUCGUGCCUGCACUCUCUCCAUCCGCACAGCCUCCAUCCUGCCGCCUGCACUCUCUCCAUCCUCACAGCCUCCAUCCUGCCGCCUGCACACUCUCCAUCCGCACAGCCUCCAUCCUCGUGCCUGCACACUCUCCAUCCGCACAGCCUCCAUCCUCGUGCCUGCACUCUCUCCAUCCGCACAGCCUCCAUCCUGCCGCCUGCACUCUCUCCAUCCUCACAGCCUCCAUCCUGCCGCCUGCACUCUCUCCAUCCGCACACUCUCCAUCCUCGUGCCUGCACACUCUCUCCAUCCGCACAGUCUCCAUCCUCGUGCCUGCACUCUCUCCAUCCGCACAGUCUCCAUCCUCGUGCCUGCACACUCUCUCCAUCCGCACAGUCUCCAUCCUCCCGCCUGCACACUCUCUCCAUCCACACAGUCUCCAUCCUCGUGCCUGCACACUCUCUCCAUCCGCACAGCCUCCAUCCUCGUGCCUGCACACUCUCUCCAUCCACACAGCCUCCAUCCUCGUGCCUGCACACUCUCUCCAUCCGCACAGCCUCCAUCCUCGUGCCUGCACACUCUCUCCAUCCGCACAGCCUCCAUCCUCGUGCC
rnacentral:lncRNA from 1 species